rnacentral:lncRNA from 1 species
AAUGCAGCAAGUUGCUAGGAUGCAAGAGCAGUUGCGGAGGGGAGGGGACCGUUUCCAUAGAGAGGGAAUAUCACAGCCCACUUAGGAGCAAUACCGGAGAAGCAGGAGCCGAGACCCCGGAGCAGCCAGAAGUUCAGGGGGAUGUACAAGGGGCCGUCCUCCUGGCCCUGAAGCUGCGCCGGCCUCCCUGAGCGUUUCCCUGCAGAGGGAAGUCCACUCUCAGCACCUGCAGAGCAGCGAGGACACCUGCACUUACUGUUUACCUGUACCAGAGACCUUCGCCUGUGCCGUCUCCCGUCACUCUCGGGCACACCUGAGAAGCAGGUAAUGUCUGCUUCCUAGGAUGCAGCAAGCGAAACACAGGUUAAGUGAUUCACCCAAUA